GAAGGUGUGCUGUGAGGCAUGCUGGAGGUAUCAGAAGUGCGAAUGCUGACAUAAGUAACGAUAAAGCGGGUGAAAAGCCCGCUCGCCGGAAGACCAAGGGUUCCUGUCCAACGUUAAUCGGGGCAGGGUGAGUCGACCCCUAAGGCGAGGCCGAAAGGCGUAGUCGAUGGGAAACAGGUUAAUAUUCCUGUACUUGGUGUUACUGCGAAGGGGGGACGGAGAAGGCUAUGUUGGCCGGGCGACGGUUGUCCCGGUUUAAGCGUGUAGGCUGGUUUUCCAGGCAAAUCCGGAAAA
rnacentral:rRNA from 1 species